AGAUUGGACUUUGUUCUUCAAUACUCUUUUCUGGAACUUGAAUUUUUGGGACAGUGUCAGCACUCUAGCUGGAGAAGUAGAUAAACCUCAGAAAACAUUCCCUGUGGCUCUAUUUGUAGCUGUGAUCUUCACUUGCGUUUCUUACUUGAUUCCUCUCUUCGCGGUGAUUGGAGCUGUUUCUGUGAAUCAAAAUGAAUGGGAGUCAGGGUUCCAUGCCACUGCAGCAGAAAUUAUUGCAGGGAAAUGGCUAAAAUAUUGGAUUGAAGU
rnacentral:misc_RNA from 1 species